UACGUAGGGGGCAAGCGUUGUCCGGAUUUAUUGGGCGUAAAGAGCGUGUAGGCGGCUAUACAGGUCCGUUGUGAAAACUCGAGGCUCAACCUCGAGACGCCGAUGGAAACCGUAUGGCUAGAGUCCGGAAGAGGAGAGCGGAAUUCCCGGUGUAGCGGUGAAAUGCGCAGAUAUCGGGAAGAACACCCGUGGCGAAGGCGGUUCUCUGGGACGGUACUGACGCUGAGACGCGAAAGCGUGGGGAGCGAACAGG
rnacentral:rRNA from 1 species